UCGUUUAUCAACUGAGAAGAAAGCAAUCGAGAACUUUGAGGCUUUAACAUGGAGGUGUGUCUGCUAGUGAUUCUCGUAUUUUCAGGUGUGUUUGCUGACAGCAUUACGCCAAAUGACAAGGAUACGCUCAAUAGAGAAGGAGAGUCUGUGACACUGAGCUGCACUUAUGAUACAAGCAGCACUUCUGUUAUGCUUUACUGGUACAGACAGUAUCCUGAUAGAGAACCACAGUUUUUACUGAGAAAAGGUGCUCGAUCAUGGAGCGGCUCUGAAGAUAUACCAGAUCGCUUUCAGUCGUCUACAUCCCAAACAUCCACUGAUCUCACUAUUAAGAGUGUAACUCUGUCAGAUUCAGCUCUCUAUUACUGUGCUCUGAGAGUAGGAGCCCAGUGA